CCCACACCCAUGUGUGUAGGACCUCAAAGGAUCACCAUUAAAUUUGGCACAGAUCUCUAGAAAAGUUAUCACAUGGGUGUGGGACUUGACUUUUCUAGAGAUCUGUGCCAAACUUAAUUCUGAUCCUUUGGGGUCCUACACACAUGGGUGUGGG
rnacentral:pre_miRNA from 1 species